GACGUAGGGCGCGAGCGUUGUCCGGAAUUACUGGGCGUAAAGCGUGCGCAGGCGGUUCUCCAAGUCCGUUGUGAAAGCCCCGGGCUCAACCUGGGAAUGGCAGUGGAAACUAGGGGACUGGAAUCUGGCAGAGGGGGGUGGAAUGCCGCGUGUAGCAGUGAAAUGCGUAGAGAUGCGGCGGAACACCGAUGGCGAAGGCAGCCCCCUGGGCUGUGAUUGACGCUCAGGCACGAAAGCGUGGGGAGCAAACAGG
rnacentral:rRNA from 1 species